GCCGGCGUGGCGGAAUGGCAGACGCACCAGACUCAAAAUCUGGCGAUGGCAACAUCGUAUGGGUUCAAGUCCCAUCGCCGGCA
rnacentral:tRNA from 2 species